CCCUGUAAUGAGGCUAUAUAAUAAAUAUUCGUCACUUCCGGUCGAAACCGGAAGCGAAUCAAAUUUUUCGAAAAAUUGAAUUUUUUGAUCAAACAAAAAACGUAUACAUAGUUUGUAGAGCUUUUUAUGCUUAAUCUAAUGCUGAAAACCGUUUGAAAUUUGGAGGAUGCAUUACAGAGAUAUCGGGGUUUAAAAACUGAUUUUCCCGGAAAUUUUGAUGCCGCGUUCUUGGUUUCAAAAAUAGUGCAAAAUUCACACUGAAAGUAACUUCUACUGUAACAAUUCGUACUGAUAUUAAAACUUUAUUAAAAAAACAUAAAAUUAGAUGCAUAUUGUAGAGUUAGCAAAGCUAAAUACAAAACUUAAAUUCGUUUUAAAAUCGGAUACUGCAUUGCAGAGAUAUCGCGGUUUAAAUAUUGAUUUUUCCGGAAAUGUUGAUUCCUCUUUAUUGGUUUAAAAAAUAGUGCAAAAUUCACACUGAAAGUAACUCCUGCUGAAAAGAUUUCGUACAGGUCAUAAAACCGAACUCCUUUUUUAUAUAGUUAAUCAGAGUGUUUAUUGAAACAAUUUCGUUAAUUCGGUCGAUAAUUACGUUGUUAGUUUUUAUUAGUCUUAAUAGUUUAAAUCGAAAUAAUUAUCGUACGAUUCACCAUGUCAACUCGCCGUGUUUUGACUGCUAACAACAGCUGAUAGCGGUGUGUCAGAAGAAUGGCCUGCAAGACGGCGAUAGUGGAAAUUUCAGCUCAACUAACGUAUGACAGAUUAUAAAGAUAUUGGUGGCCACAUGGUUUUUACCUGUUGAUUCUUUUCAGCUCUUGAGGUUAACCUGUCACUUCUAUACCCACAUGCAUAUUCUUUAAUGUGUUCUACAGACUAUUUACCAGUAAUUCAAAUUAAAUAGGAUAAUUCAUGAACAGCUACUGUAAUGGAACUUUAAGAAAGCAUCAUGCCUUGUUGUGGUUUGUGUUUGAUAAGAAAUUAUAACAAACAAAAUUAUGGCUGUUUAAAGUAAUUUACAAUUGUUAGCUGUGAAAAUUUGUUUUUCAAUAAAAGUAUGCAAUUA